GCCAGACUCCUACGGGAGGCAGCAGUGGGGGAUAUUGCACAAUGGGGGAAACCCUGAUGCAGCGACGCCGCGUGUGGGAAGACGGUCCUCUGGAUUGUAAACCACUGUCCCCAGGGACGAAGAUGACGGUACCUGGGGAGGAAGCUCCGGCCAACUACGUGCCAGCAGCCGCGGUAAUACGUAGGGGGCAAGCGUUAUCCGGAAUUACUGGGUGUAAAGGGAGCGUAGACGGUGAAGUAAGUCUGGAGUGAAAGGCGGGGGCCCAACCCCCGGACUGCUCUGGAAACUAUUUGACUGGAGUGCAGGAGAGGUAAGCGGAAUUCCUAGUGUAGCGGUGAAAUGCGUAGAUAUUAGGAGGAACACCAGUGGCGAAGGCGGCUUACUGGACUGUAACUGACGUUGAGGCUCGAAAGCGUGGGGAGCAAACAGGAUUAGAUACCCGAGUAGA
rnacentral:rRNA from 1 species